AGCUAAACCGCUAGCCCACCUAACUAGACGAAAACCCCACUAUUAAAUAUUCACCAACAAAAAAGAACAAACAAACCAUUUUCCCCCUUAAGUACGGGCGACGGAAAAAGAACCCCAGGAGCAACAGAUACAGUACCGCAAGGGAAAGCUGAAAAAGAAGUGAAACAACUAUAUCAAGCCUAAAAAAGCAGAGCCUAGCCCUCGUACCUUUUGCAUCAUGAUUAAGCUAGUACACCAGAGCAAAGCGCCCUUUAGUUCUUUACCCCGAAACUAGACGAGCUACUCCGAGACAGCCUAUAGAAGGGCCAACCCGUCUCUGUGGCAAAAGAGUGGGAAGAGCUCCGAGUAGAGGUGACAAACCUACCGAGCCUAGUUAUAGCUGGUUGCCUAGGAAAUGAAUAGAAGUUCAGCCUUCCGAUCACCCCUCCCCCCAACUGCAGUACGCACCUCAAGGCCUCGGGGUCAACGGAAGAGUUAGUCAAAGAAGGUCCAGCUUCUUUGAACAAAGACACAACUUUUUUAGGAGGCUAAAGAUCACAACCAAUAAAGGAAAUUACUAUAGUAGGCUUGAAAGCAGCCACCUACGUAAAAAGCGUUUAAGCUUAUGCAAACCUUUAAAUCCUCAAAUUCGGACAUUAUAUUCUUACACCCCUAAACCCACUAGGCCGCUUCAUGCCCGCAUGAAAGAGACCAUGCUUAAAUGAGUAAUAAGAGGACACGAUCCUCUCCCAGCAUAAGUGUACACCGGAUUGGACCACCCGCCGGUGUUUAACGGACCCAGCAAGAGGGUAAUAGACAUGAUAUAAUCCACAAGAAAACCACCUAUCAACACAACCGUUAACCCCACACAGGAGUGCUACACCAGGAAAGACCUAAAGAUAAGGAAGGAACUCGGCAAACACAAGCCUCGCCUGUUUACCAAAAACAUCGCCUCUUGCAAAUAAUAGAAUAAGAGGUCCCGCCUGCCCAGUGACCCAAAGUUAAACGGCCGCGGUAUUCUGACCGUGCAAAGGUAGCGCAAUCACUUGUCCUUUAAAUGAGGACCUGUAUGAAUGGCAUCACGAGGGCUUAGCUGUCUCCCUUGUCCCGUCAAUGAAAUUGAUCUCUCCGUGCAGAAGCGGGGAUACCUCCAUAAGACGAGAAGACCCUAUGGAGCUUUAAACGACUACGGCCCACCUAAGACAACUCAAAAUAACUGAGCAUCCUCCUUUUGGCACUAUCCCGUUUUAUGUUUUCGGUUGGGGCGACCGUGGGGAAAAGAAAAUCCCCCAUGAGGACUGUAAGCCACUCCUUUAAUAACCAAGAGACACCGCUCAAAGCAACAGAAUCUCUGACCCCUAAGAUCCGGCCCAUCCGCCGAUCAACGAACCAAGUUACCCUAGGGAUAACAGCGCAAUCCCCUCCAAGAGCCCGUAUCGACGAGGGGGUUUACGACCUCGAUGUUGGAUCAGGACAUCCUAAUGGUGCAGCCGCUAUUAAGGGUUCGUUUGUUCAACGAUUAAUAGUCCUACGCGAUCUGAGUUCAGACCGGAGUAAUCCAGGUCAGUUUCUAUCUAUGACUUGCUCUUCCCUAGUACGAAAGGACCGAGGAGAGAGGGCCCAUAUCCCCCACACGCCCCAUCCUUACUUAAAGAAAACAACUAAAAUAGGUAAAAGGACAAACACCCCUACCAUAGACCAAGAUAC
rnacentral:rRNA from 1 species